UCCUAAACGUAUCUGUCUCCUUUCGAUCUCCUUUGACAAUCUAUUUCUUUGAAGUCUUUUGAUAACAGAUAUUACGUUCGCAGUUCUUUCUAUUUAAUUUUCAACUUUUUUGCGAGCACACGACUGUCUCUACCACCACUUGCCACCAUUUUCCAUCGUCACGGAGAAGCAUAGGUCGUGGCCUAUUCUUUUUGUUGGGAUUUGGCACAUUGAAUUCGAUCCACGGUAGGAGAAAAAUUCAAGAUAGAGAAGUCUG
rnacentral:lncRNA from 1 species